rfam:Pelotomaculum thermopropionicum SI DNA, complete genome.
CAGCGGGUUGAAAUGUACCUGUCACGGUAAUUUCUCGUACACCGUGAAGUCGUCAGGCAGGCGUCUUCGGGGUGACCUAAGACGUCAAGCUGCCUGAAAAGGCCAAAAGGCCGAGACAGGAUGCAGGCCGUAGCGAAA